ACUCAAAUGAAUAGACGGGGGCCUGCACAAGCGGUGGAGUAUGUGGCUUAAUUCGAUGCAACGCGAAGAACCUUACCUGGCCUUGACAUGCAAGUAGUAGGAGGAUGAAAGUCUGACGAGGUAGCAAUACCAGCUUGCACAGGUGCUGCAUGGCUGUCGUCAGCUCGUGUCGUGAGAUGUUGGGUUAAGUCCCGCAACGAGCGCAACCCUUGUGUCCUGUUGCCACUCGAUCGAGAGAUCGAAGCACUCUGGACAGACUGCCUCGCUUAAACGAGGAGGAAGGUGGGGAUGACGUCAAGUCAGUAUGGCCCUUACGGCCAGGGCUGCACACGUACUACAAUGCCCGAUACAAAGGGACGCAAGACCGAAAGGUGGAGCAAAUCUCAGAAAAUCGGGCCCAGUUCAGAUUGUCGGCUGCAACUCGCCGACAUGAAGCCGGAAUCGCUAGUAAUGGCGCAUCAGCUACGGCGCCGUGAAUACGUUCCCAGGCCUUGUACACACCGCCCGU
rnacentral:rRNA from 1 species